rnacentral:lncRNA from 1 species
GGAAGCCCCACACUCCCUUCAUAACAGCCUCCCAAGCUCCAAAACCACUCUGCUUUUCCACUGAAACUUCCAUCCUGCAGCUCUCUAAGCCAAGGCAGCUGCCAGGCAAGAGAACUUGAUCUGACAAAUGAAUUCACACUAUUGUGAGAAUGACAUGCAGGCAGCACCUCAAAGGCCUCAGUUUCAUGGUGGCACUGCAGACAGGAGCAGUGACCAUAUGGUGGGGAGCGCCAGCAGGAAUCACAGUGACAGGACCUGCACCAGGGACCCCAAUGCUUCCAGCCCUGCUUCAUUGCCUCUCUUCAGCUUGCCAUGCACUGAAGAGCUCUGCAGCCAGGAGAAUCCUCAGGAAAAGGACAGAUCCGAUGCUAGCUCGUCUGCUCCACUUCGCAGGCGACAGAACUAAGGCCCACAGAGAGGAGUUGGCUUUCUGAGGUUCCCACCGUCAGUGACUGGUGAACCCAGGACCAGCACUUAGUCCCUCUUUCUCCUCAGCCUCUGCUCAACUGGAGACUACUCUGUGGCUAGAGGUCUCAGUGGGAAGACCAUGGGCCUGGCCUGUGCAUGGGCUAUGUGCUGUGCCUCUGUCUUCAAUGACGGCAGCUUUGCUGGAAACCCUAGGGACUCCCCUCCCAAAGCAAAGAGCAAAGCUGGCACAAGACCUGGGGAGAAGCCCGAAUUCAGAUUCCCAGAGAGGCAGGGCCCCUCGGAUUCCCAAAGCAGUUUCUUUGCUCUGAUUUUUGUCCUAGGUGUAAGCCAGCUCAGCAGAGGUCAUUCUGGAGUCUCCCAUAAUUGUUCUCACUGGACCAGGCAUUGGCAUGGCCAGUAGCCUGCACUGGGAUGUCAUAGGAACCGUCCCUGGAAACUCCAUCCCAGGAAACUCC